rnacentral:rRNA from 1 species
GGCGGACGGGUGAGUAACACGUGGGUAACCUGCCCAUAAGACUGGGAUAACUCCGGGAAACCGGGGCUAAUACCGGAUAAUAUUUUGAACUGCAUGGUUCGAAAUUGAAAGGCGGCUUCGGCUGUCACUUAUGGAUGGACCCGCGUCGCAUUAGCUAGUUGGUGAGGUAACGGCUCACCAAGGCAACGAUGCGUAGCCGACCUGAGAGGGUGAUCGGCCACACUGGGACUGAGACACGGCCCAGACUCCUACGGGAGGCAGCAGUAGGGAAUCUUCCGCAAUGGACGAAAGUCUGACGGAGCAACGCCGCGUGAGUGAUGAAGGCUUUCGGGUCGUAAAACUCUGUUGUUAGGGAAGAACAAGUGCUAGUUGAAUAAGCUGGCACCUUGACGGUACCUAACCAGAAAGCCACGGCUAACUACGUGCCAGCAGCCGCGGUAAUACGUAGGUGGCAAGCGUUAUCCGGAAUUAUUGGGCGUAAAGCGCGCGCAGGUGGUUUCUUAAGUCUGAUGUGAAAGCCCACGGCUCAACCGUGGAGGGUCAUUGGAAACUGGGAGACUUGAGUGCAGAAGAGGAAAGUGGAAUUCCAUGUGUAGCGGUGAAAUGCGUAGAGAUAUGGAGGAACACCAGUGGCGAAGGCGACUUUCUGGUCUGUAACUGACACUGAGGCGCGAAAGCGUGGGGAGCAAACAGGAUUAGAUACCUGGUAGUCCACGCCGUAAACGAUGAGUGCUAAGUGUUAG